CUUCUGAAACUUAGACGCUCUGGGGUGCUGGUAAAAUGGGCCCUCGAACCUGAAGACCAGACUCCAAAUUCUUGAUGAACUCCCAAGGUGCAGCCUCUCUCUACCUGUGACAUCUCUUUACCACAGCAGUGCUCAGGUGCCAGACGUGGAGUUAUCAUCACUGGGCAAGAAGACCCGGAGGCUGAGGCCCCUUCAGUGAUGCCGAUGUGGAGCCGGAUUUGGGGGACCCUUUGCUAUGGACCAGGGUUUGCCAUCGAACAGGAAUCAUAAACUCAUCCAGAGGAGCCAAGCAGGUCAACCUGACCAGUGAAGCUGGGAGGUGUGUGGACAGGAGAGCGACGGGGACUGCGGUGCCUGGAGAACAUGAAGACAGUGAUGCCACUCUGCUCCCGUGGGAAUGCAGAACGCCAGACCCUGCAGGGAUCAGAAACAGUUUGUAAAAUGGAAUGAGAAGGGGCAGGAGAGGAGGCCAGAGAGAAGCAGCCGAGAACUCAUCUCCUUCCACCGUCACAUCUCACCCGUCCAGCCUGUGGCCGCCCGGGCUGGAGGAGAGAGAGGAGGAACUCCAACGCCCAAUUAAGGCUGAAGUUGUAAUUCUUACCUAGGCUGCCAUUCUAAUUCCUCAUCGCCACUUUAUUAUGCCACUUAGAAAAUGACGGAGCACUUUUAUUACCUCUGAGAAACAUGCUUUGUCUUGCCUCGGGGUAAGGGAGAGAUAGCCCUGGGUGCAGAUUUAAAGAGAGAGUGGGAGUCAAAAAUGAAUUUGCUUUCAGAUUCCAUUGUACCAGUUGUGCUGGUUCAAUGUAAACGCUACAGAUAGAAACAGGAGAAGGGCCUCGGGCAAAGGUCUACCCUCAGCCGAUCCUCGCUCUAUUUGGAAAAGCAAACCUAGAUAGACUUGUCUCUCCCA